rnacentral:lncRNA from 1 species
AAAUAUUUUGUUUCCCACUAUUUUUAAUAUUACUAAUAAAUUAAAAAUAAAAAAACAUAAACGCACUUCUCUUUCAUAAAACCAUCAUCAUUUCCUUCUUUCACACCAAAAUCUUCGCCCAUUCUCUCUCACCAGAAACCUUACUUCUCACCAUCAAAAUCCCCGUCCUUCUUACCAUUGAAACCCUGCAUCACUCUCACCAUCAAAACCCCAAUCCUUCUCACCAUCAAAUAUCAAAAUUGCAUACUACAUGUUCCAUUUCACUUCACCUAUCUCCAUAUCUCAAUAUUUUAAAUGUGAACGAGUAUUACAAAAUAAAAUGAAAUUGUAUCCAUAAAUUGAAAUUUGUAUUUAGUCAAUUUUUGAUUUGUGGAGUACAACUGAGUCAAUUUCUGAUGCGUUGAUUGAUUGCAUUUCUUUCUACCUUGUUUUUUUGUGUUGUUGUUAAUGAUAUGAGAUUGCAGAUUUGUAAAUAUGCUUAGGUUGAGAGUGAAAAUUGUUAAUAUUACUAUUAUUGGGUUUUAGGAUUAUAGUUUUAGGGGAAACAAGGUGUAGUACAAAGUUAAGAUCGGCUUUAUUUGGUUGUUCGCAUUUCCAAAAUUUACAGAGGUUGAGGUGGUUUUUGUUUGAACGUGAUUGAUAAUAAUGUAUGGAUAUGAAUUGUAUUUAUGUGAGUUUUGGAAUAUAAAGUUUACUUUAAGGGUUUACGUUCGGGAAACCAGUGUUUGUAUGUUGGACCUUGUGAAAUAAAUUGAAUUAAUGAAUUUGAAUCAUUGUAUUCUUAAUUUACUAAUGCUGACUACUUUAUAUACUUGAAUAAAUGUUGUGCAUGAAAAUCUGACAAAGAUGGACCUGACUCUGAAGCAGAUUCAUUAAUGUUGGGAUUGUAGAGUUAUUGGGAUGCUGCAUAAUCCAAUCCUAUCUUGUUCUUUAUGAUAAGUCAAGAAUCAGACUAAAUGUUUUUUAUGCAGGUUGUCGAGCGCAUAAAAACAUUUUGAUCAAUUGAGAGGCCUAACUAGUUUCAUUCAGGUUCUUUAAUUCACUAAGGGAUAUCUCACAUAUGGAGUCAACAAGAAAGGAAAUAUUCUUGGCAUACGAAAAGUUAUAUCACCAAUUUUCACAAUAAUUGAUGAUGUACUCUAUGUAAUAGGAUUAAGUCACAACCUUCUAAGAAUAAGCCAACUUUGUGACAAAGGUCUAAAAAUUAAUUUCACCAAAGAUGAAGCCACUCAUGAGAUAACACUUAUGGGUAAAAGAAUUAAUAACAUUUUGUAUGAUUUCUUUAGAUGAUUUAUCUUUGGAAAAAAAUUUAUUAUGGUAAACAAUAAUGAUGAAUGACUUUGGCAUAAGAGAAUAAACCAUAUUCAUAUGGAACAUAUAACAAAGUUAGUCAAACAUGAUCUUUUUAUUAGAUUACCAAAGAUGAAGUUUAUCAAAGAUAAAUUAUGUGAUGCAUGUCAAAAAGGAAAGCAAACCAAAUCAACUUUAAGGCCAAAGAAUGUGGUAACAACUACAAGGCCACUUUAAUUGUUGUACAUGGACUUGUUUGGUCCAUCAAUGACAAGAAGCUUCGAAGGUAAUGUAUAUGCUUUAGUAAUUUUUGAUGAUUUUUCUAGAUAUUCCUAGACACUUUUUAUAGUGCAAAAAAAUGACGCUUUCAAGGAAUUCAAGAAAUAUGCAAAGCAAGUAUAGAAUGAAAAAUUCUUGAAGAUGACAUCAGUUAGAAGUGAUCAUGAUGGAUAAUUUCAUAAUGCAUCAUUUGAAGAGUUUUAUGAUGAACAUGAAAUCUUUCAUAACUUUUUGGCACCAAGAACUCCUCAACAAAAUGGAGUGGUUGAAAGGAAAAUUCUCCCCCUAGUUGAAUUUGCAAGGACCAUGCUAAGUCAUUUAUAAGUGAUUUGUCCUUAACAAUUUGCUUAUAUUUGUGUGUGAUGAUGAUGAUAUUUUAGAAGUACCUAUGGAAGACAUUGCUAAAGUUGAUAAUAUUGAUUAAUCCGGACAAUACGAGGAAAUCAUUUAACGUAAAAAGAACCAAGAUGUUCUUUCUCAAUAAUGGAGAGUUAAAGCUAGCGAAAAUAUACCCGAACGCAUCGCACGUUCGAACAUACAAAAGAGUCACCAUCAAACUUUAUUUAUUCCCGAAGAAAAGGGAAAACAUUGAUAAAACCCGGGGAAGGAAACUGGGUAAGGAUUUCAGUUAUGCAAGGGGAAGGUAUUAACACCCCUCAUAUCUGUUGUACUUAAUGAGAACUGUUUUGAUUUCUCUUUUCUCGAAUGGGUGUUAUAUCUAAGGGUUACUCGUGAAAGAAUAAAAGGAAAAAUAAAAGAAAUAGAUAGAGUGCUCGGUGAGGAUUAGGGACCUCAUGCCUACUUAUCCUUAUAGUGCAAUAAGAAAUUCAGAGCUCCAUAGUUCAUAGAACUAAUGGUGGGAGGUGAAAGAAAUUAUGAUAACAAUAUGGUUUGAACCAAAAGAUAAGGCGGUUUGACUCUAAAAAGGGAUGAAAUUUGAACCCAAGAGUAAAACUGACAUUAACCAAUAUGUGGGGAGCUUGAGGCAUGUAACUAUUAUAUAUGGUCUGACCGAAAACAAAGGGAAUUAAGUGUUUGACAUCAAGGCAAACAUCUCUUGGUCCAAAAGCAGACACAAUAUAUAGCUCAAAGGAAUAAUGUAUUUGGCUCAAAGAGAGAGUAUAUCACAUGAAGUGAAUGAUUGGUAGAAGGUUCUGAAUGAAUGUAGUGAUUGAUGAAUAAUGCAAAUGAAUGAAGGAGUAGAGAGUAAUAACCAAAGUCAAAGAAAUAAUAGAUUUGGUAAAAGUGACUAAAUGGUAUGAUUUGGAACCAAAUGUGAGGGUGUAUUGGAAUCCAUAAAGGAAAUGGUAUUUGAACCACAAAGUAAAGGUGACAUGAACCAAUAUGCGGGGAACAUGAGGCAUGUAACCACUAUAUAUAUGGUUGGAAUGACCAAAAACAAAGGAAUUAAGUGUUUAACAUCACGAUAAACAUCUUUUGGUACAAAGGUGAACAAUUUUCCUAAAAGGGUAUAUAUGGAAUUCCAAGGAAAAUUGUAUUUGGUUCCAAAUAGAGGCAGUAUGUCACUGAGGUGAAUGGGUUGUGAUUGAAGAUAGAUGAUGGGUCAUGGAAGAUAUGAGUGGUUCCCUAAGGUAGGAUAAAGAAUAAUUAUGCUCGCCAAGGAUUCGCAUCCUCGUGCCUACGUAUUCUCAUUGUGUGAUGAGAAAGUCAGAGCUCCGUAGUUCAUGGAACCACGAAAACAAAGAAAAGAGAUUGGAAGUGAUGAAAUAGUAUAACUUGCACCUAGGGUAGUGGUAGUAUGGGAAACCAUAAAGGUUAAAAAUCAUUGUAUAUGUGUGUAUAUAUAAUAGAAAAAAUAACUAUGGUUAAAAAUUAUUGUAUAUGUGAAGAAAGUUUUGUAAGAAAAAUACUCAAUCAUAUGUAAAUCACCAAUGACUUAAAACCUAAAACUUGAUUUCCCUAUGAAAGAUAAAAUCUCCAUCCUCCGUGCUCACUAUUAAACUCAAUCCAAAAUUUGAUUUUAUAGUAAAUGAAAAGGUACUACAAGUUUUAUUUUCAAUUAAAAAAGAUUUAGGAUCAUAUUUUAGAGUAUAUUUAUGCUCAAUUUUAGAUUAUAAUCUUCAUUAAUAUAAUAUUUUUUUCCUUUGACUAUAAAUUUAUAUAAAAGUUAUAAAUUACUUUUAAUAUCAUUAAAUAUCAUAUUUUCUACAAUUUUUUUCAUUUGAAAUAUUAAUUUUUUAAAGAAAAAAAAGAAUACGAAUAAUUUAGAGUUCGGUAAGGAAGUACGAAAAGUUUGUUCUUCUAAAAAAUGAAAAUUGGAUUCUACUAAAAAAAAAGUAUUUUAGUUGAAAUAAAAGAAAAAGAGCUUCUAUAUAAGGGGUGUGUGAGGUAGUUUAAUUAAUAUGUGCUAGUUAAGAUAGAUGAAUGUAAAUUAUUGUUCCAUGUUUCAAUCUCCAACAAACAAUUCAUUUGAUUUUUAUUAUAUAAAGUUGUAAAGAGAUUAUAAUUUUCCUCAAACUACUUAAUUAUUUUAUAUUUAAAUAUAUUUUGAUUAAUUUUAGGUAAAUAUGGUCAAUUAAGAAGAUUAUAUAUAUAUAUAUAUAUAUAUAUAUAUAAUUUUCUUUUUAGGAAAAAAUAGUUAAUUACGCACUUGAUGUUUAAAAUAUUAAAAAAAACGGUUUCUAGCACGCGUAUAAUGAUUAAUUAGUUUUUAUUAUUUUUAGUUAUAUUAAAAUAAUUAAAUUAUUAUUUUUUAUUAAUAAUUGUAUAUUAAAUAAUAUAUUACUUAAGUGAUUGAAGUAACACAUAUAAUAUUUACUAGUUGGACUAAACAAGUGUAAAACAACGUUGUUUUAAAGCUCAACACUUGGUAAUCCUAACAUCAACAUUUUUUUUUUGUAAUUUUUUAUAUUGUACUAAUGUAAAUAAAUUGUUGGUACUUAUAAAUUUUUACAGUAAUAAAACACAGUUAUUUGUCAAACAAAAAAGAUUAGACCUUAUAAUAUAAAUUUUUGAAUAUUUUUUCAAAAGGAGUUGAUGAUAAGUGUGUUUAAAAUAUUGUUUAAUCCAAAUCAAUUCACUUUGGUUUUGAAAAAUAACCCAAACAUGUGAGAAACCAUUGAAUCUGUCUUGACUUUAAAUCGAAGAAUUCACUAUUUCUAAGUAUAAAGUCACAUCUCCCAUAUUUUUCUUCUCUGAAACUCUUAAUUAAAAACACAUUUGUUUAAUCAUAAAGUCCUUCCAUACGACAAUGAACACCACAAAAGAAAUGCGUUUUAACUUCAAAGUAUUAGUGUUGACCCCGACUCUGAUGCAACUAACAUCGGUUUAACAUCACAUAGACCGACUCUAUCGUAUUUAUUUAUUUAAUUUUAGUUUUUAAAAUGAAUCUAUUGUUAAAUCAUAUGCUAAAAAAACUAAAAAAUAUAUAUUUUACCAUCACACCAGACUCAUAUGAUUUUUUAAUUUUUAUAUUUAUAUAUCAAAACUUUAGAGACGAUAUGGGCCGACGCUAUACUAUUUUAUACCGUGUAAGAUUUCAUGAAAGCCACCAAAUAUUUUGUUUCCUACUAUUUUUAAUAUACCUAAUAAAUUUUAAAAAAAACAUAAACACACUUCUCUUUCAUAAAACCAUCAUCAUUUCCUUCUUUCACACCAAAAUCUUCGCCCAUUCUCUCUCACCAGAAACCUUACUUCUCACCAUCAAAAUCCCCCUCCUUCUUACCAUUGAAACUCUGCAUCACUCCCACCAUCAAAAC